ACAAAGGCUAGAGCUGGUUGGGGGAGGCUCUCCAAGGGGGCAUAGAACAUCUACUUGAGUAGGAGGCAAAGUAAAACACCACUAAACAAUCAGAUACAACAGGGAGCACGUGGAAAUCUGUAUAAAGAUAGGAACCUGGAAACAAAAGCCAUUUUACAGAAAUGAAUUAAGUAUGACCUGGCUGGUGGCGAAGUGGCAUCAGCGUCGGACUUCGGGACGAAAGGUCCCGGGUUUGAAUCCAGCCAGCCGGCUCACAAGCUGGUGAUCUCUUUGGAAACUCACCCGGCAGAAGGCAAUGGCAAACGACUGCUGUAACUUGCCUCGUACGCGAAUCCCUACUACAUCAGAGAGGUGUGGAGGGAAAUCGUCCGCUAACCGGAGAAACUCCGGAUGCAAUGUACCUUUCCUUUCCUAUAUAAAACAAAGGUUCUGCAACAUCAAGGCUGACUUGCAUGCACUCUGAUUUUUAUGGGUUCUGAGGUGACUAAUAAAGCUGAUGUAAGUAAUGCAGACACCUGCCCACAAGGGAAUUUAAGAACUGGACUGGUACUUCUUUUCAAGGGAACUAUAAAUACUAAGAAAAAGAGUGGAUUAUUUCCAUCAUUCUGACAUAACUUUAGGAGGUGAUGGCGUUCAAGCACUGCUACAGCUUUCAAGCAUCUUUCUGUGCUUCACGUUUGGUCUGGAUUUGCAUCUUCACAUGCGAGAUGGCUUUCUGGAGGCCAUACUUGGAUCUUUUGUACUUUCCUGGGCCAUCGGACUUAGAUGCCUCCUAUCUAGCCCUCAGCAGAUUGUAAAUCUCUUGGUUCAUCUAAGGCUUCUGGUUCGGGAAGACUCUGAAGGACUUUGUGGUACACACUCAUCCAUGAGUGACUUUAUGAAAACCGUUACAGCCAUGGUGUGUUCAUUCAGAUCCUUUGAUGAGUCCCUGAGCAUGGCCCAGUCUACUGACUGGAAGCAAUCUCCUAGCCACUCCUCUGCCUCCCCUGACCACCUCUUUGUUGUCCUCACUUCUGGCACCUUCCCCUUUAGCGUCUGCCUGUAUGCUAUUAGGAGAAGGAUAGCCAAAUAAUCAGAUUUCCCAAGAUACAGUCUAGGGAACAUUCCCUAUCGAUUAUAGGGAAAAUAUAUGGGAAAAUCAGAUUACUCUGUGGAUCAAACUUGAAGGGUCAAAAUGGCCUCCCUCUAUGUCAUAAAAAUGUGAAAGAACAGCUAGCUCCCAAAAUUGCAAAGCCAUGCUGAACUCUGGCUCUGUCACUUAACAAUGGUUCUUUCAGGGAACCAGGGUUAAAGGUGAAAUAUUUAAGGGGAAACUGAGGGGGAAGUUUUCACUCAGAAGGUAGUAAGAGUAUGGAAUGAGCUGCCAGAUGGAUGUGGGUUCGAUUUCAGAACUUGGAUAAGUAGACGGGUGGGAGUGCUAUGUCCAGGUGCAGGUCGAUAGGGCUGGGCAGAUUAAACGUUGGACACAGACUCUUUCUAUGUUGUAGUGCUGUAUGACUCUAUAAUUCUAACCAUGUCACAACCUUUUCCAUUAGUAGCACUGAUGGCUUCUUUGGGUUCUUGCAGUGACAAAGUGCUGCUUAACCUUGCUGAAUUAACACCUUACAUUGUCCAGGUAGGGAUAAUUUCUUGCUUUCCAUUCCCUGACCACAUGAAAGCUAGAAAUAAAGCACUGAAAUAUUGAAUUUACAGAUUUUAAGGGUGUAAGGGGAGGGGAAUAAUUAAGAUAAUGGAAAGGGGAAAAACAAAACUGUUUGAUGAGAGCAGCCAAAGAUGAAUUUUAAGAGUCUGACAUAAUUAAAAAUAACAGGUUCGUAUAUGAAAAUGUUUUGAGAGACAAGUGCGGGGCUGGAUUUUUGGUAGGAUGACAGCCAUGAGACCUCAUUUCAGCUCAAAAUGAUUAUUACUUUCUGUUAUAUGCUGUAUUUGCAGAAGUGGGAGGUAAUAUUUAGCCCCAAGACUGUAAAUGCAAUAGAACUAUAAUUACUGUGACCAUCUAUUAUGGAACUUAUUGAGAUUUUAGUAAGUGAAAGAAUAAAGAAAUGCAGCAAUCUCCAAAAGUAGAAGGGAGAUUUCAUUUGUCAGAACUCAUCAAACCAACGGCAAUCUGGGAUGCAAUAAAUUGGUAAUAUGGGUAUUAAAUUUUUUAGAAUAUUCCGCUGCAUAAAAACAUAACCCAGUUAGCUUAAUUCUUAUAUUGCUGUAUGUUAAACCAUUGAACAGAAUGCUCCAUCUCUCUCCUUUAUCAACAUCUGUUCUUACACAUUUUAAAACAGGAUCAGCAAUGUUGUUCUGGUCACAGUAUUUCUGCUGGUCUGGAAAACAAGUGCUUUUGGCAUUUUCUGCAAACAGGAAGCAGCAAGUCAGUGGGCUCACCAAAUACGAAUGCCCUGCCACACACUGGAAAGAAGUCAUUUGUAAAAAAAAAUAAAUUACAUUAUGUAUUUUCUUUGACUGUUUCUUUUAAUUCCCUUUGUAAUGUUAUACUUUUUCCACAUAUCAUGGUGUAUCAUUUCAUGCUUUGAUUUGCACUUCUUAAAAACUGAAGUGUCACUUGGACAAUGUGCAGACAACUAUUUGGCUUGAGAAAACAUUAUGCUGUUUCUUUUCCAAAUCCCUUUUAUUUGAACAUUUUUUCCUCAAUACAAUCCAUCAUUCUUGUG